AUAUCAGUAAGCGGAGGAGAAGAAACUAACAAGGAUUCCCCUAGUAACGGCGAGUGAAGCGGGAAAAGCUCAAAUUUUAAAUCAAGGAAAUUCUUUGAAUUGUAAUUGAGAGGACAUGGUUGAGGGAGAGAAAGUGCGUAAGUUCUUUGGAAAAGGACAUGACAAAGGGUGACAAUCCCGUAAUGCACGAAACACUCUCCUUUCAUCUUUCAUGUUCGACGAGUCGGAUUGUUUGGGAAUGCAAUCCUAAAUGGGUGGUACAUGUCAUCUAAAGCUAAAUAUGGGCAAGAGACCGAUAGCGCACAAGUA
rnacentral:rRNA from 1 species